UCUCUCUCUCUCUCUCUCUCUCUCUCUAUUUCGACUAAACCAUCAUUAUAUAUAAAGGAGGGGGGACCAACCAAUUCCAUUUGUAAAAGCUUAAAGCUGGUCACAAUUUUUCAAGCAAAUGUCAGUGAAAUAUGGAAGAUUCAGCUUCUUUACCGAGGUGCGUAACCUUGAUGAACGGAUUCGUCCUCCUCCUGUGUUUGGACCGUGUGUGUGUGUUUCCUCUCUCCUCCUGUCAGCUGCAGGGAGUCUGGAUGCAUGGAUGGGAGCUUGAACAAACCAGUGAGAGACAUAAAGAGGAACUGAGGGAGAGAGAGAAAGAGAGAGAGAGAGCAUGCACACACACACACACACACACACAUACACAGCUUCAGGAGCACAUUCUUACACGCCACAAAGCAGUUGCUUGGACGACCGAAGACAGAACGAAAGACGGGAAUCACAACACAGAGGAGAGGAAAAGGAAGAAGAACGAGAGUGGGUGGGGGGAAAAAAAGAUCUCCAGGUUCUGGGUGUUAAAAAGUGUUUGUUUCGAGACAGGAUUGUGUGAAGAUCAUCUUCUUAAAGAUUAAAAUAUUCCUUUCUUUUAGAGAGAUCUUGUGGGGGAGAUUACUACAAAGCAAGCAACUCCUCCAGCAGGUAAGAAGAGUUCUCCUCUCAUUCAUCCACUGCGCAUUCACGUCUUCUUUCAAAACUUUGGGUCUCGAUUGCGUACUAUUACAGUGAGAAAGGAAUGAGUUGAGUUGAGAGAAACGGGGUUUUGAUUGGAGGAGAGAGCGAACGCACAAUAAGGAGAAAAAUAAUCCACCUAAAAAAGAGAGAGAGAGAGAGAGAGAGAGAGAGAGAGAGAGAGAGAGAGAGAGAGAGAGAGAGAGAGACCGGUCUCCGAAGACAAAACAAGUUUGCGUUUUUCUCUUUUUCUCACACACAGAGGCAUGCCUGAUCCACAGGUAUCCACGGAAAUACUUUCAUACAUCUGAUUUUAAAUGCUCUAGAGCUCUACAGAACAGUUUAAGUCAGGCAGGUUGUUCCACCAUUUCAGAACCACAAAAGAGUCCAGUUUUAUUCUUAGUACUACCAGGUGGUAUCACCAGGUACAAUUCCCAGACUGUACUGAUCAUGAGGGGAAAUAAAUAGGUGAAGUGCUUUUGGUUACUCAAUUUUCAAGUAUAAAGAACUCCAUGAAGCCAGUGGAGGCUGGAGAUAAAGAGAGGGGCGUGACAUCCACAGACUUUUUGGAUUAUCGACUGGCACAGGGUAGCAAUAAAGGAACAAUGGGAUGGCUUCAAGGGCUCAGAGUAGACAAUUUGGCCAAAGAAGACCCUAAAGACCCUAGAAAUAAAUUGUCUAGGAGGGAAGCAAAAAGCUGAGCCAGAAGCCCACUCCUUAUAGAAAAAUCACAUACAUUUCACAUGAUCAUAUGUUUGUUUGUUUUUUCCCCCACACAAUACGUGAUACAUGAAUGUGAACGUGCUUAUCAACAUGCUACGCCCUGUGAGCCAAAUGAAACAUACGUGACAUCGGGUAAAUAAAUUACAAUUACAAUGUGGAACGUGAACAUGUGAAAAUAAUCGAAUUGUGUUUACGUAAGUCACGUGAAAAUGAAUCGAAUGCAAGUAAACAAAUCAUAUAAAAAUGUUUGAAAAUAAAGAUUUUCAUGUGUAAAAAUAAAUCCCAAGUGAAAAAUAAAUCAGGUGGAAAAAGUCACAUGUGGAAAAAAUAUGAAACACGUGAAGUGUUUAAAAACACAUUAGUCUAUGAAAGGAAGCUAUCAUUGCUGUGGAUACCCUGUGCACUGGUUCAGUGGUGCCAGAAGGUAGAGUCACAGUUCUCAUGCUUUGAGAUGGCGAGAGCCUGGACGAUGAAUUGGGUCACUCCAUGAAAACCGCAGCCAAACUGUGACAUGAGGGUAAAAUCCCACCUUCACGCUGACUUUACCAUAAAACAUAAUGGCAUACGGGUCAAAAAUAACAUCUCCACUCAAACAUGAGUUAUGAGGCAUCACAUUUACUGUAUUGCACAUGAAAAUAACAAUGAAUUUCCAUCCAUUUUCCAUACCACUUCUCCUACAUAGGGUUUGCAGGGAAGCCUGGAGCCUAUCCCAGGGGAUUUGGGCCACUUGGGACACCCAGGACAGGGUUGCAAUCCAUCACAGGGCACAAUCGCACACACACUCACACACUAUACUGUCAAUUUAGAGAUGCCAAUCAGCCUUCAACACAUGUCAUUGGACUGGGGAGGAAACCGGAGCACUUGGAGGAAACCCCAGUGCGGAGACGGGAAUCGAACCCCCAACCCCGGAGAUGUGAGGCAAACAUGCUCACCACUAAGUCACCAUACCCCCUUAACAAUGAAUUUUAACACAAGUUUGAAAAUGAUCAACAAUUUGGACCAUUCUACAGAUCUGUUAACUUGAAUAUUUCAAGAAGACUCUUUAGUCUAUUUUUUAAUCCAAUCACAAAGAAGGAUUCAUUAACUUUCACUAGGAAAGUUAAGGUAAGACCAUAUCAGUUAUUGUAGUUGCGAUAUAUAUUAAUCGAGUGACUUCACUAUACCCUGCGUGAAACGUUGUGAGUAUAACAUGGUGUAACUUACCUGGACACGAACAAUUACAGAUUGUCAAAACGCCUGCGUUGAAUGAUUAUUGAAAGGACGUGCGGAUGUACUCUCAGGUGAUACACAUCAUGCCUGAAUGUGGGGUCUGGUUGGAAAUUCGAAGCUUGGGAAUAAGGCUGUUUCGAGCAGAACACUCCCAAAACAGGACACGAUAAAACUACAAACUUUAAAAAUGUUGAUUUUAUCUAUCAUCUUAAGUUCUGGUUAUUUUCCUCUGCUUUUAUUUUUUUAUAUAUAUACCAUAAAUUGUGCUGACUGACAGAGAAAUAUUGUUGUUACUAAUGGAAACCUUGUUUUUUAUUACACCCAAAAUGGGCUGUGAAAUGACCCCUAACAACCAUCCCGAUAGAUAACUAUUAAAUAGCCUCUGUACUAAAAUAGGAAGACUUUUAUUACAGGAAAGGUUAGGAAUUAAAGCACAAACUAAUUACUUUCUUAUGUAUGGUAAGGAAUGUCACAAUUUUUGGUCACUAAUUAAUGGGAGAAUUUAGAAAGGCAUUAUGUUUUUACAGUAAUAGGAACAGGACAACACUGAAAUUAUAUUAUGUUUAUCUCAAGGUGUAACACCUUACAUUAAUCAUGAUAUUUAUCUAUAUUCACUGCAAUGUUUCAUUUUAUUGCCAGUGAUUUAUAUACAUUUGAAUGGCUGAGGUUUUCAUGGAGUGACCCAGUUGCUCUGCAUAUUCUGACAGAUAUAGUCUGAUCUGACGUCGUGUGGACAAAAUCAAUGUGAUGUGGUCUGCAAAGUCAAACUAGCCAUCGAUUGGUGCUGGUGGACCGUGAUGUAGUGGUGAUAAUGAGUCAAGCUUGAUGGAGAUAUUGUGUUGAACUGAGAGACUUACUGGAAAAGGACUUUGAGACGGCGAUUUCAAAAGAGCUGAAUUUUGUUGGGACAGAGGUCAUAAGAGAAAUGGAGAGACUGGAGGACUGUUCAAUCACAAUGUGGUGUCCCAUGAGAGAAGAAGGGAGACCAAGCACUGAGCUGACUUUGAAAGCACAAUAGGAGAGGGGCCCAAGCACUGAUCUGAAUUUGGCAGCACAGUAAGAGAGGGGCCCAAGCACAGAUCUGAAUUUGGCAGUACAGUAAGAGAGGGGCCCAAGCACUGAUCUGAAUUUGGCAGUACAGUAAGAGAGGCGGCCAAGCACUGAUCUGAAUUUGGCAGUACAGUAAGAGAGGGGCCCAAGCACUGAUCUGACUUUAACAGUACAGUAAGAGAGGGGCCCAAGCACUGAUCUGAAUUUGGCAGUACAGUAAGAGAGGGGCCCAAGCACUGAUCUGACUUUGACAGUACAGUAAGAGAGGGGCCCAAGCACUGAUCUGACUUUAAAAGUACAGUAAGAGAGGGGGCCAAGCACUGAUCUAGUUGGACUGUUCACACAAAGUUAUCCAGUACAAUUCUUUUUGAGAGAUAGGACCCAUGAGUGCUGAUCUAAUGGAGUGGUACAGGUGUACAGGUUCCCAACCUUGGUCCUUCUACUCUGUUCAUCUUCUUCCUGAUACGUCAAUUUUAUGUACACAAAAAUUGCAACCUAGGGGUCCAUAACAGACGGGUAACAAAAAAAAAAUACAUUACCGAGGCCUUUUAUACAACACCUCAUUGGUGUAGCCUUUAAGAAUUCAUAAAAGUAGAAGUAAACUCCCAGACAUGUUUUGAAAUUUAUGUGUUGCUGCAGAAGCUGAUCAUUUGUUUUAGCACUUGUAAUUUUGGAAGGAGGAAGAGAAGAAACCGUAUCAGUGCUCAUCUUACGACUCAUCAUCUGACCAUACCGAACAUCCUUUCAACACAUUUAGUGCUGUUUGUCUUUACAGUACUACACCUGUAUACUGUAAUGAUCUAUAAUCCAUCUAUCAUCCAGAAGAAGUUGGGUUCCUCUUAAAGUUUCUUUGUGAUGUUUUAUCGGGGAGGUUUUCCUAGCCUCUGUUGCCACUGGCUUGUUCAUUAGAGAUCUAAAUCUACAUCCAGAUUUCUGUAAAGCUGCUUUGUGACAGUAUAUAUUGCUGAAAGUGCUAUACACCUAAAACUGAAUUGAAUUGAGUAGGGUUUUUUGAAUCAGAGCCUUCUGCUCUCAACAGCUCUGAUCUUGACCCUUAGACAGCAUAAUAAUGCCAGGGCAAGACAAGCUGCAUUUUCUGUCUUAUUACCUUCAAAAGAGAGAAAAAGAGAAGCUGGUAAGAGUGAACGAAUGUUAUAUAUAUAUAUAUAUAUAUAUAUA
ensembl:lncRNA